AAAUUGAUGACGCUUUGCGUUAGUAUUGGCUGUUCUGAGUUAGUGUUAAUUGUUUAGAGCUGCAUUUACAAGAAGAAACAGCUAUAAAUUGAAAAUAAAACAAAUUGCGAACCAAAUUGUUUACGUACAUUGUUACGUCAAUUGUUACGUAAAAUCAAUUGUGUCUAAUCAACUGUCCUAUACGUUAUCAUAUACCGUCACUAUCGUUGAUAAAGCAUAAAGGAUCAACAUAGAAUAAAAAUUCAUCACUUACUUUGGUCUUACCGCCAACAGACCUAAUCCAAUUUAGUAAUCAAAACGGAAAAAAAGAACAUCGAAAUUGACUUAAAAGGAAUCUUGUAACACAUAGAAGUGCGCUGCGGGGAGAACUCCUCUUAGGUUACCCAAAAUGUACUUCUGCAAAGGUCUCGCGUGUCAAAACAGGCUUUUGGAGACGUUUUAGGAAACGUUGGUGUGAGUGAUGUUAUAAGAAAAACCUACAUGUCUCCAGUGAUGCAUUUAAUCCUCACUUUGGAGUUGGUGGUGUUUUGAGCCUAUCAACGGCUGGCGGCUAGCCACUUUCGUAAGCGUUGCGACGGUGUCGCCGUUUCGUAGAGACUUUCCAAUUGACGGGAAUAAGUGAGGAAAUAUAAACCGGCAUAGCUUCUGCACUUUCAAAUUUAAUUGUGUUGAACUAAAAGAUAUAAAGAAUAAAUAGGCUUUAGGAUGUUUUGUGAAAAUUAAAGCGUUGGCUUUUGUUUAUGUGAUUCAAAACUAGAUUGAUUCAUUUUAAAACAUUAUACAUUCUUUGUAGGUAAAUUCAAAUAAUAUAUAUUAAAAUUCAAACUUCAAUUUCACAAUUCAAAGGUUUCCUAAGAAAUAAAAAUAUGAAAUUACAUGGUUUAUAUGAAAUUAUUUCACUAAAUUUUAAAUCGUUAAAAAUUU